UACGGAGGGUGCAAGCGUUGUUCGGAAUUACUGGGCGUAAAGGGCGCGUAGGCGGCAAUGUAAGUCAGACGUGAAAUCCUUCGGCUUAACUGAAGAACUGCGUCUGAAACUGCAUGGCUAGAGUGCAGAAGAGGGAAGCGGAAUUCCUGGUGUAGAGGUGAAAUUCGUAGAUAUCAGGAGGAACACCGGUGGCGAAGGCGGUUUCCUGGUCUGACACUGACGCUGAGGCGCGAAAGCGUGGGGAG
rnacentral:rRNA from 1 species